GACGAACGCUGGCGGCGUGCUUAACACAUGCAAGUCGAACGGAAAGGCCCUGCUUUUGUGGGGUGCUCGAGUGGCGAACGGGUGAGUAACACGUGAGUAACCUGCCCUUGACUUUGGGAUAACUUCAGGAAACUGGGGCUAAUACCGGAUAGGAGCUCCUGCUGCAUGGUGGGGGUUGGAAAGUUUCGGCGGUUGGGGAUGGACUCGCGGCUUAUCAGCUUGUUGGUGGGGUAGUGGCUUACCAAGGCUUUGACGGGUAGCCGGCCUGAGAGGGUGACCGGCCACACUGGGACUGAGAUACGGCCCAGACUCCUACGGGAGGCAGCAGUGGGGAAUAUUGCACAAUGGGCGGAAGCCUGAUGCAGCAACGCCGCGUGCGGGAUGACGGCAUUCGGGUUGUAAACCGCUUUCGCCUGUGACGAAGCGUGAGUGACGGUAAUGGGUAAAGAAGCACCGGCUAACUACGUG
rnacentral:rRNA from 1 species